GACGUAGGGCGCGAGCGUUGUCCGGAUUUAUUGGGCGUAAAGAGCUCGUAGGCGGCUUGUUGCGUCGACUGUGAAAACCUGCGGCUCAACCGUGUGGUCUGCAGUCGAUACGGGCAGGCUGGAGUUCGGUAUGGGGAGACUGGAAUUCCUGGGUGUAGCGGUGAAAUGCGCAGAUAUCAGGAGGAACACCGGUGGCGAAGGCGGGGUCUCCUGGGCCGAAUGACUGACGCUGGAGGAGCGAA
rnacentral:rRNA from 1 species